CAAAGCUGCUCUGAAUUGCUCUUCCUUCAAAGCAGAAUGUGGUUCAAUAGGAAAAGUGCUACCAUAAGAAGUCUGUUAAAUAAUCCUAUAUGAACUUGGGUGUGCAAAGGAUAAAAGGCAAACUUUACAUGCUGGGCUGAAAUUUUCUAUGCUGUGGACCUUACCUCAACCCGGACCAUUUUUACUCCUAGAAUUCUCAUUCUGAAAUAAACUAUUUUGAAUAUCCAAAAAUAACUGUGCCAUGACUGAAAUGUUCUCUGGGAAGGUUUAAACUCUGAAGCUCUGGAAAGGCAGGAAAAGUAUCACCUGAAUUUUUACAGAGACCUGAAACCACACACAGAAACCCCACCACCAUGGGCAGUGAGGACUGCAGUACCUGCCUAGCCCCAUGAUGGCCAAUUCAACCCAGACAGGGACUUACAGCAAUAUGAGGAAAUGACUGAAAGCACCAUUCAGUGACUGCGAGCUGCCUGUGGUGAAACCCUUUCUCCAUGGUAAAUGCAAGGGGGCUUCUACCUGUUCCACUGUGAACCACAACUGCCUCAGCUCCCCACAUUUGCAGGAGGAUGAGACCACUCACGUGCACCUUCCCUGUCAGGAAGUGGAGACCUAUGAACCUGUGGUAAUUUAUUUGUGUGUUGAAGCCUGAAAGACUA